rnacentral:rRNA from 1 species
AAAAGGCGGCGUAAGCUGUCGCUAAAGGAUGGACCCGCGGUGCAUUAGCUAGUUGGUAAGGUAACGGCUUACCAAGGCGACGAUGCAUAGCCGAGUUGAGAGACUGAUCGNCCACAUUGGGACUGAGACACGGCCCAAACUCCUACGGGAGGCAGCAGUAGGGAAUCUUCCACAAUGGGCGAAAGCCUGAUGGAGCAACGCCGCGUGAGUGAAGAAGGUUUUCGGAUCGUAAAGCUCUGUUGUUGGUGAAGAAGGAUAGAGGUAGUAACUGGCCCCUAUUUGACGGUAAUCAACCAGAAAGUCACGGCUAACUACGUGCCAGCAGCCGCGGUAAUACGUAGGUGGCAAGCGUUGUCCGGAUUUAUUGGGCGUAAAGCGAGCGCAGGCGGAAAGAUAAGUCUGAUGUGAAAGCCCCCGGCUUAACCGAGGAAUUGCAUCGGAAACUGUGUUUCUUGAGUGCAGAAGAGGAGAGUGGAACUCCAUGUGUAGCGGUGGAAUGCGUAGAUAUAUGGAAGAACACCAGUGGCGAAGGCGGCUCUCUGGUCUGUAACUGACGCUGAGGCUCGAAAGCAUGGGUAGCGAACAGGAUUAGAUACCCUGGUAGUCCAUGCCGUAAACGAUGAGUGCUAAGUGUUGGGAGGUUUCCGCCUCUCA